CUAAAAUAAAAGUUGAAAUUAUUUUUUAAAAAGCCUAGGCUUCUUCCUAAACCCCCAAACAUUUUUAUUUACUCAACUAUGUAAAUGGAAUAUCUAAUUUGUAAUACCAGGUUAAAGAUAAACAUAAUAAAUCUUAUUUUUCUUUUAGUUAGGUCAAUUCAGUAGUCUUUUAAGCUAUAUCUAGAUAUAGCUUGGAUAAUUAUUGAUUUAAAACAAAGCAAAUAAAACUCAUGAACCAACAUUAUGUUGGGAUAUAAAUAAAAUUUACUUCACAGUAAAUUCUGUCAAAUUUCACUUUUGAGUUCUUUGAUAUACUAUAUAAAUUGUGUUGAAACAUGUUUACCAAAGGCUAAUUUAUAAAAGUAAUAAAAGAAAAAAUGGUUGUUAGGAGGAAAAAUGGCUAAAUUACCAUGGUGGAUAAAUAAAAUGAAAUUUGAUAUAAUCAUUAAUGUAAUACAGAAUAAUAAAUAAGAAUAUGUAAAGAUAUUCCUAGCAUAUUGUAAAAACUAAAUUAUAAAAUAAUAUGUACCACUCUUACCUCACUAUGAACACAUUAGAUACUAGUAUAUAUCUACAUAUACAUAUAUGUAGGAUGUAUAUGUCUGUCGCUGACUACACACAUGUAUAAAAGACUGGAUGCAUGGAUAAAUAGUAAGAUGAAAUGUCUUUUAGUUUUCUUUUUUGCUUAUCUGAUUUAAAAAAAAUUUUUAAAGUGAACCUGUGGUGUCUUUGUAUUGAAUAAAAAGUCUUAAACUUUUUUUAUCAUCUUGUGACUCUUUAGUCACCCUUGUCACAGAAAAUUCAUUUCAUCAGAAUAUCUGGCAAUGUCAUUACAAUGAUGGUUUGGGUCCUCGAAUAAAGAUUUCAUGAAAAAUGUGAAGAAAAAGAUGGUCCUUUUCCCUUUUUUCUAUUUAGAUAUUUUGAAAUAGAUAUAUUGAAGGGAGUUAGACAUGUUCCACAACAAUUAUGAAAAAAAAUCAGUCCAUUAAGCUUGCCAUCCUGACCUACAUGAUAUUUCUAUUGAAAGAAGUACAGUACUCAAGAUAAUUCCCAUAUAAGGCACUGAAAUCAGCAUUAAAGGAUUUUGAAUUACAGCUGAUGAGCAUGCAAGUCUGAAAGAAGACAUUAAUUUUUUUUUAAGUUCUGAAUAGUGUUUAAAUUUCUAAGAUAAGAGCUACAUUAACAGAAAUUUAUAUAUAUCUUCUUUUUAUUUCUCUAUACAUAUGAACACAUAGGAGAAGAGUCGAAAAAAUGACCAUGCACAUUGUCUAUUUAUACUUUGGCAUGAUUUGCAGACAUAAUUACUGUUGAAGGAAGAAAUAAACUCAAAUAUAUUAUUUCUCAGUCAUAGUGAUGUUUGAAUAUUUGCCUAUAUUUUAUGCCUUAUAAUUACAGACAAAAUAACAAUGUAACACAUUUGUUCUGGCCAUUAUAUGCAUGUUAAACACAGUUGCAAAACUCAAGGUAUGCAAAUAUUUUAUGGGUUAUUCAAAAUCACAUUAGUUGUAAUUUAUUUAAUAGUUUUUGAAGUGCAAAAUUAGACAUGCACAUACUUUCAUUUUAGGCUACUUGUUUUAUCCACAUCUGAAUUAAUUAAACUGCACUUCCCAGUAAAUAUCUGUAGACUGACAAAGACUGUAUGAGAAAGUUAUUGUGAAAAACACUUUCGGAAGAUUCUUGAAACUUUCAGUCUUCUAAACUCAUAGAAUUUUGUCUUUAGUUAGGUCACGAAUACCAUUUUUGUUAAGAAUAAGCCAAUGUAUUUGGUUUGUUUAAUUGCUCCUUUUUUCAAAAGCUUUGUUAUUAUAUUUCCUUCUUUUAAAUUAUAGGUCAUAAAAUAUGUAGCCUAUAAAAUCAUUCUCAUUGGGAAAGAAUUGCAGAAAAGUCAUUAUCUUUUGAAGAUAAGUAUAGUUAAAAGGUAAAUUUAAGCCUUUGGACAUCAUAUAGGUGAUCACUGAGCAAUGAAACUGAUGUUCACAUCAAAAUUACUGAUUGUUACCCAUUCUAUUUAUUAAGGCAAACUCAUCAUUGAAAAUUAAAAAUAAGUUUUUGAGUUUUAUAAACAUAAAAAAGUUUCUUGUUAACUCCCCUAUAACAUUUUACAUAUACCUUGAUGAUCGCUUAAAAUAGUUUGUUUAAAAUAGUGUGAAGUAAAAAUUCUAGUCAGUUUUAAAUAGUUUGAAUUAAGAUUCCUGAAUACUGUACCUACUGUGAAAAAAGGGAGUGAAAGGCAGAAAAUUCAUAUUAGAGUGUUUUACAUAUUAUCUAGGAUGGAAUGUAAUAAACUGUUUUAAAUAUCCUUCUAGUUGUUAUGAUAGGAUGUCUUUAGAUAAAUUUACAGAAUUUAUUUUAUUUUACUAAUUGAUUGGUAUAUUCAUCAUCCACAGAUAUAUUAGUGAAAGCUGGAUUCUAAAUGACUUUCCUAUGAUAAGCUUUCCAAUUAAUUCUUCUCACACUGUUUUCCUGGUGACAUUUGAACUUCUUUCAUUAUAUAAAACACAUCUGGAAUGAUACAUUGCUGAAUAAUAAACAUGGAUGCGAACAUGUUAAAGAUUGGACCCCUGACAUAGUCAAAUAUGUUCUGGUUUAAAACAAUGACCUCAACUAAUUCUGCUUUAAGUGAAUCACAUUUAGAAAGAAUAUAUAGGCAUGUCUUUUUAGCCUGCCUGUCUUGUGCUAGAAUUGGUCAAAGAGAGAGAAAUGAAAUUGUAAACUGUGUCUUCCUUGUUUGAGAUGACGAUAGUAAGUCAUAUUUUCCCUCCCAUCUGCAAAUAUUAUUUUCUUUUUCUUGUCUGAUAUUAAAAAUACUGCAAUAAGGAAAUAUUUAAAAAGUAUUAUCUAAAACAUAUGUUAAAUCAUGUAUUACUUAUAAUUUACAUCUGUUUCAUAGGGCUACUAAAUUUCUUCCAUAGUGUAUUUCAUAAAGGAGAAGAUGCUGAUAAGAUCUUGUUUAAAUGGCUUGCUAAUACAAGAAGCAGAUCAUUUUAAAUGGACCUUACAUCUUUAUAGGAUGUUAGAAAUGAAGACAUUACCUCAAAAUGUAGGUAAUUAUUGCCUCCUCUUUUAUCAGUGCUAUUUUCUGAGGUAUUAUCAUAAGAGAGCACUUUAGUAUUAAGCAGGGCCUUAGAGUGGCAAUAAAUCAGUCCAACUGAGUCAUCAUUGUCUAAGGCAUCUGAACUACUGAAAUGUUGUGGAUCCUACUGAGAGUGUGAAAUCACUUGACCCUUGGCAUUAACCUUUGCUGAAUGAAUAGACACUGCUUUCCACAAUGAGGAACAAAGCAGAAGACUAUUGAUUAAACACAUUCACUUGAUAUUAAAUGCUGGCUGAACUCACUUCUUGCUUCUAGUUCCAGAGGGAGAAACCCAGAGAGUUGCUGAGUCUCAAGAGAAUGGAUGUUUGUAAUUCAGAGCAAUGUUUUUCCUAGAAAGUACUUUUUUUUCCCUCCUUUGAUCAAUAAAUAGCACCCAUGAUCAGACAUGAGUAUAUAUUGUCUAUUCUGACCUGUAUAUUUUAUCACUUAAGGUGAGAGGUCACAGUGUUGUGACUAAUAUUUCUAAGUUCUAAGCAUGAAUUGUUUCCUGACUUCAAUAUCUAUUUGAAAAAGCAAUUUGUUUUAUAUUAUUUCUUGUUUAUGAAUCAUUAUUUUGGCAAUUGAUUUGUCUGCAGUAGUAAAAUAUCUGAUUUUUCUAGGAUUCUUUGACUUAACCAUUCUUUUUGCCGAUGUUGAAUUUUUACUCGACAUUAUUGGAAGAAAUCACAGUAAAAGACAAUCUUAGGAUAUGUGAGUUAUGUUACUUGGGAAAGAAAAACAUUACAGCUAAAUAAAUUUCUCAAUUUUAUAAAAGGGAAAAGCUUUGGAAGAGAGUAUAGCAGUACAUGUGAGCAUAAAGACAAUAAAAAUUAAAAUAUUUUAUAAGAAGUCCUAAGCUGAUUAUCUUCUGAUCUACUGCAUGUACCUAAACUAUUGACAAUAGUUUGACAGCUUCUUUAUAGACCUACUUUAUCCAGGAGUAUAAUUAAAAUUAAUUUAAUUCAUGGAACAAGAGCUAAAUUUUAAAAUUUUAGCCACAAAUUAGAAAAUCGUCUUUGUUUUAAAUUUCAGUGGCUUCUAUGUGCUUAACUUUAUAUUACUGCAAUUAUUUUAUUGCAAGAAACUACAUAAAUAGCUACAAGGUCUUUCUUUUCUUUCCAAAAUUUCAUAUUAUUCUGGGCUCAGGAUAUUACAUCAGUAAAACUCUUCGUAAUUUUUUCAUCACUAAAGGUUUUGACUGGCUUAUGUUUAAUCUUAGAAUUCUAGAUUAGCUAGUUGUGAAUCCAUCACGGUUGAGCAAAGAUGAUUCCUUGCUUGAAUAACAGAAAACCUUCCUUCUAAGGUAUAAUGGUGUAAUUUAAUACAGUAACAUCCACACAGUCUCACACACUUUGCACAAUUUUUGAAAAGGAAUAUUAGAAGGCUGAGGGAAGUUGAUAAAAUGAAUCAUGCUGCUAAACUUAAUGGUCAAUCCUUUUGAUUUGAUGCAUUCUACGGGGUGUGUAGCCCCUGAAAUCUUUCUGUGAAAGCUGCUGAAGCUUGGAAAAUAUGGAAAACAUUCUUUUAAAAGACUACUUUGGUUUUGUAUCACAUAUUUCUUUUUCUUUAUUACUAAGGACACCUGUAUAGCAGCCAUUUUUUGUUUUACUGUUAUCUUGAGCACAGGCAGGCUAUAUAUGCACAAGAACCUUGAAGUUUACUUUGGCACUUGGGGGUACCAAUGUACAAUUUAUUUAACUCACAUAAUACAGUACAAACUAGUUUUGUGCAGGCCAAACAAAAGAAAGAUAAUCAGCUUACAAAUACUGAUAUUCUAAGGUUAUGCUUAAUAAAAAAAUUUAACGAGAAUUUGUUUCUUUGAGUACCAACUAAAUGUAACUAUUACUUAUUCUGCAGUUCAUACUAGCAAACAAGUUAUUUUUGUGGUAUUUUAGAUGUAACCAAACUCGGUAGAGAAGUGACUGUGUAAGGUCACAUAGUAAGUUAGUGACAUAGCUGUGAUUUGAAUUCAUGCAGCAUGUACUGGAGACCCUUUCAUAAUCUUUUUGAUGUCUUUAUGUAGAUUCCAAAUGGAAAUUAUUUUAAAAUGAGGUUGGUGAUCAAAAUACAAUGAAAUUAUAAUUUAUUGAAAACAGAAAUAUUGAAACUCCAAAUUCAGUAUUGAAAGAAGGAAGGGAAGGAGAGGAAGAAGAAGAGGAAAAGAAAGAAGAAAAAGAGAGAAAACAAAACAAAACAAAACAAAACACUUUGCUCAGUACUAUAGCUCUUUAAGGAAAAGACCAAAUAAGAACCUCAAUUAAGACAUAUGCAAAAAUAGUUGUUUAUUGCUAACAUGGGUGGGGAAUUUGUAAUUUUUUUAAUGUUCAAACAAAGUAAGUAGAUUCUCAUUCAAAUUUCUGCUAGAAUAAAUACCCCCAUCCAGAGAUAGUUUGGAACACACCAAGGUAAAGUGAACAGUGAAUUUUUCUACUAAUUACAGAUGAGAUCCACUAGAGUUUACUCUUGAAACUGGUAUUGUUGCUGUAUUAAAAACAAAGCUCCCUUUCCAAAAAGUGGUGGGUUUUUGGAAAGUCAAUAAGAAAAGCUCCACAAUUAUUCUGCCAUAAGUAGAUUAUUUAAAAUUGAACUUUUCUGAGCAAUGCUUUGACAUGGUUCCCAUUUAUCUGACAAGUCACCAGAAACUUCUUUUUAAACAGUUUAUAUCUAAAAAGGACAGCUUUCAAGGUUUCCAUAGCCUGAACAUAACAGACUCCAGCCUGGAAGGAACCUUUUUGGGGAGAGACUUUUGUUUCCUUGAAUUAGCAGAAGACUUUGAAAUUGACUACACAUUGUUAAAUCCUUGCUUGGGAUCUAGUAAAAACCUAUAUAGUUUAUCUGACACAGUAGAGUUUAUCUUUUUACAUUUGUCAUUCCUCAUAAAAGAUAUCGACCAGACUUUUUGUGACUUUGACCAGCAGAAAACCUUGGCUGACAUACUCAAGGCUGAAAUGCAGUCAGCGGAAAUGGAAACACUUCAACUCUGCCCCUGUGGCAAGAAUGGCUUCCCUUCAGACAAUCUGGCCAGAUUCUUUAUGGACCCAAUGGGAGAAAUUGGAUGCUUGUAUAUACCUCUCAGCAUCUUUGAAGGGGCACUGAAACUUCAAUCAAAUUGGGGAAAGGGAGCCCUGAACUUUAGACCUGUUUUAAAUGUGCAGAGGUAGGAUUGAGACUUUCUUUCCUUUCUAAAAUACCUCUCAUGAUUCUUAACUACUUUUAUAGAGUCCUUGAGCCUUAAGUCUCAGCCAUAUUAAAAUCCCUUUUUCAAAGACAUUUGCUGAAGGAAUAAUGGCUUAGUACUAAGAAAAAACACCACAAGUUAAAAAUGUACUUGGCUAUAAUGGAAUUUAUUAUCAUAAACUACAAUUGUCAGUUAAGUUGUGUUCCUUAAGGCAUUAACAGUGUUUGCCCAAAAUGAGCUGAUUUAUCAUCAGUACUAAGAAAUCUUUUGUGAAUUAUUGUUGAUGCUAAACACAGUUUUUGAUUGUGAUAAUAGCUUGGCCUUGGAGUCCGGUUUACUUGCUUGCAAAUUAGCCAGUGUUCUUUGGUGCAGGGGAUGAGAAAUGUGACAUUGACUUUGGAAUUGUGAUCAAUAGCUUUUGAUCUAAGAAUCCUUUUUCUUUUUUGCAAGUGGCAACUGGCACAAGGAACACUUUCCAUCUGUAAGAAAGAAUACAAAGAACUUGGAACAAGAAAAAAGUAGAUAUCUCAUCAGUCAAUGUUGCUGUAUAGGUAAAGUCUGAAUUUUUUUAAAAAAGCAGAAGCAUCUCUAUUAUAAAGAUUUAAUAGUUGCAGGGUAGUGUAGACAGGGCUCUGUAUGUUAAAGCAUUAAAAACAGAAGCAAAACAACAUAAAACAAAAGUGUCCCUUUAAUGAGUUCAGUCUUACAUGACCAAAAUGUUGUUAUAAUUGCCCCUAGGAUUCUACCUACAAAAAUGGAUUAUUUAGUUGGGUAUUGUAUUAGUCCAUUCUGGCACUGCUAUAAAGAAAUACCUGAAACUGGGUAAUUUGUAAAGAAAAGAGGUUUAAUUAGCUCAUGCUUCUGCAGGCUGUACAGGAAACAUGGCUGGGGAGGCCUCAGGAAACUUUCAAUCAUAAUGGAAGGGGAAGCAAACACAUAUAUGGCCGGAGCAGGAGGAAGAGAGCAAAGAGGGAAGCGUCAGACACUUUUAAAGAACCAGAUCUCAUGAGAACUCACUCCCUAUCAUGAGAACAGCAAGGGGGAAGUCUGCCUCCGUGAUCCAAUCACCGCCCACCAGGCCUUUCCUCCAACACUGGGGAUGACAUCAGAUGAGGGUGAGGACACAAAUCCAAACCAUAUCAGGGAUUAAAUCUUCCAGUAUGAUAUAUGAUAUCAGACACAUCAGACACAUUUCAAAAAGAAGAAUGAAUAAAUAUGAAUGAGAAAUUUGAUAUAGACUCUAGGUUGCAUAAAAAGGGGUCAGAUAACUUUUACAAGGAUAGCUCUAUAUAGGUCUACCUCCAAGAAAAUGAAUGCAUACUAAUGCUCGAUCCUAGUAUUUGUGUUUUGUUUCAUUUUAAGGGUCCCUACAUGUUUUACAGAUACUCACCUUUUAUUUUCUGUUUUCUAUGCAAUCUAUAAUUUAUUGCAUUCUAAAUAUUUUUUCAUUUCUAUUUUCUUAUCUUUAAAAUAAACUUCUUUCUUUCCUUGGGGAUAAGCCACUAGCUAUUAAGGGAACAUUCUUGAUUUAUUAUAGAUAGGUUGAAUAAAGUUUUCAUAAAGUAUCUUAUUCACGUAAUAGAAUUUACCAAUAUGAAAGUCUUUUGACUAUAACUCUAGCACUUUCUCAUUAACCUAUGCCUUCAGUACAGCAAAGGAUAUGCAUUUGUUUGAGGAUUUGUGUUUUAGAUGCAGACUGAUUAAAUAGAGAUACAGUUUGUUAAUGAAAUAAUGUAUAUAGACACCAUGCCCAGCACUUGUUGGACAUUAUAUCAUUAGUCCUUAUAAUAAGCUGCAGAGCCAAAUAUGAUAUCCAAACUCUUCUCUCCAUUUGCAGAGGACUAAACUGAGACUCUAAUUCAAAGAUGUAAAGUAAAAUUCCCAAGAUUACGAAGCUAAUGAGUGACAAACUGACAUUAUAAUUUCAAAGUAAUUCCACUCUUAGUUACAUUACAUUGCCUCCCUCUCAGUUUUUAUCAUCAAGAUAAAUGUUUGUUUCAUAAGUAGAGUCUAUGUUUAUGUUUUAUGUUGACAUUUUCUUACUCUGCAUAUAGUAAUAAGAGUAUUAGUGGGAAACAGAGAGAAGAAAUGUUUUUUAAUUUCUCGAGUUGGAACAUGUUGUUUACUUAGGCCUUUGGUCAAACCAUAGUUUAUCAUCUGUAUUAGUAUGUUCUCAUGCUGCUAUAAGGACAUACCUGAGACUAGGUAAUUUAUAAAGAAAAGAGGUUUAAGUGACUCCCAGUUCCAUAGCGCUGGAGAGGGCUCAGGAAACUUAUAAUCAUGGCAAAAGGGGAAGCAAACAUGUCCUUCUUCACAUGGUGGGAGGAAGGAGAAGAAUGAGAGCCAAGUGAAGGGGGAAGCCCCUUAUAAAACCAUCAGAUCAUGUGAGAACUUACUCACUAUUACAAGAGUAGCAUGGGGGAAACCGCCCCCAUGAUUCAGUUACUUCCCACUGGGUUCCUCCCACAACAUGUGGGGAUUAUGGGAACUACAAUUUGAGAUGAGAUUUGGGUGCGGACACAGCCAAACCAUAUCAUCUUCUUUUCUUAUUUUAUUAAAAAUGUCCUUUCUGUAGCAUUCUGAGCUUUGAGUCUGUAUCUUGUUAUUACAGAGAGUAGCUAAAUGAAUAAUUAUUAGCACCCUUUUAAUAAUGUACUCCUAUGUAAUUGAAGAAAAAUUAUUGUAUAAAGCUAAUAUAUAUUAAGAUUUAUUUUGAUUUUCUUUAAUUAAAAAAAUCAAUUCUUAGUAUAAAAGGUACACCAUUGAGCUAAUUUGAUUUGAGUAAUGAUAUCUGUUUUAAGAGAAAAAUGAGAAAAAUAACAAAUCUAUUGUUAGUAACACCAUUACUUUUAUACCUGAACAUACUUUCUCCAGAUCUUUAUUUUCUUGUCUAUCACCAUUUGUCCAUUAGGCAAAUUUUCACGAUAUUGACUUUUCUAAUUUAAAAAUAUCCUUGUAUUUUUUCUGUUUAUUCUACUGAAAUAAAUAAUGUCACAAUGAUGUUCUAUCAUUUCACCCACAAGAGAAAAAUAUUGUGAAAUUUUAAUGAACAGUAAUUAAUUCAUUCAAUAUCUGAGUAGCUACUACUAUGUGUCAGGCACUGAUAUGGCCCUGUGAAUAUAAUAGUGAACCCAAUAGACAAAGAGUCCUGCUCUCAAGGAAGUUAUAUGACAAUAAACAAGAUUGAUAACUAAAAAAUAUGGUGAUAUGGUGUAAUACAUAGUAAUAAGUGCUAAGAAAAUAAUAAUGUAGAAAAGGGGCAAAGAGAAUAUUGGGGACAGUAUGUUUUAGAUAAGGUGGCCAAGGAAGGCCUAAUGAGAUGAUGUCAUUUGAGUAGAGACCUGGAUGAAGUGAGGUAGCAAAUCACAACUUUCUAAAAUUACAUAUAAAAUAUCCUUUAUGCAGUUAUGUAUUUGGCAUUAUGUAGCUAUUAUAUUGACAUUAGUGUUAAAGUGUCUUUCUAGUAGCCCAAUUUUAAUAAUUGUUUCAACAAGACUGUGUGUGUAUUGUCCUUUAGGCUCUAUUAUUCCUUUAUGAAUGCCAGAAGACUUCUGAAGCAACUGCUCAAGUCAUUUAGGAAAAGUAAUAUCCUUGGCUAAAAGUAGUAUUCCACUUAUUGGCUACAGAAUGUUGAGAUAUAAGACAGAAUCCCUAUCUAUAGGUUUAUUCUCCUAUUAAAGAAAUGAAUAAUGCUGGGAGACUAGAGAACCCCUCUUUUCUCCAAAGGAGACAGUCCCUAAAUCUCUUCUUAUCGCAUCAAAUUUUAAGCCUAGGAUUUCUAGGUGAUGAAUACUUUUCUUCAAAUUUUUUUCCCCAUGACUGAUCUACCUAAAACCAAAACUGAUCUGUUCCCUACAUGCCCGAUACACAGUGGUAAAGACAAAUCAGAUAUACAAUUUGACUGAAAAUUCUUUAUUUAAAGCAUGGUGAUAUAUAUAUGUAUGUCAGUUUUAAUAUAUAUUUUAUGGUAAUCGGUUAACAUUUGAAGCACUCUAUUUGGCAUUGUCUCUGCUAGAACUCACUCCCACUCCUGCAGCUAUGAUAAGCCCUUCAAUUAUCUUUAUCUCACCACCAACAAAGGAUGUAUUAAUUAAGAUAAUCGACUUUAGAAAUGAUUAUUCAUUCGUGAAAUAAGUGAUGUUUAAGAUAUGUGCACUUUCGAGAAAUGUUACACACUCACCUCUGGCCUUGCAUGAACAGGGUCUAAGAAUCUAGUGGCCUCAGUAGUAUAUUCCUUUUAAUUUGUUUCCACUUCCCUUCAGAAUGGCAUUGUAAGCCCUGGAUUCUGUAUAGUCCUAUGUUUAGACAUACAUGGUGGAGCUCAUUGACUUAAUCCAACUAGCAGUAUACAGAAUCCUAGAAUAUUUAUUCAUUUAUUUCUGCUAGAAUAUUUAUUUAUUUAUUUCCAUUGAUCCUUUCAUGCAUGGUUUGGCCAGAACAUCUAAAAGGAAUGAGAACGAAAACUUCAUUGCCUUUACAGAAACGGUUGUAAAAAAAAAAAAAAGUACAUACUAAAAUACAUGUUUGGCAGAAUUUGAUCUCAGUCUUGCACAGUUGUGAGAGAUGAACAUUUAGUUCUUAUGUACUUAUAGCCAAUGGAGGCCAAAGAAACUUAACAAAAAGAAUCUAACAAUUGUGAAUGACCACAUUGGCUUAAGUCAGUGCACAAUUACUACAUUAAAAAAGUCCCAAUUCAAAAGGAGACAAGGGAAACACACAGCAGUCACUGGUUCGUAACAAAAAUCAAGAUGGUAAAUAUAGAAGAGGUUGUAAAUAUAAAACUAUUGUAAAAUUUUAAAAUUGUUAAAAAAAAGAAGGCUUGGCAGUAGAUGAAACUAUGCCCUAUGCAUUGUCAAGCACAUUCCUUUAAAAGUGCUUGGAAAAGAGCAGGGAGGCUUCUUGUUCUAGUAGGUCCUGCUUUGUGUGAGGAGCUUGAUGCUUAUGAUGGCCACAUCUGAGUUUUGGAGAGUGUGUCCCCUGGGUGGUUGUGCAUCUUUCAUCCCACUUCCUACUGCUGCAGAUCUGGAGGCCUGUGGAUUCCUUUACAGAGUGCACAGUUGCAAGCAGUUCUUUGCUAUCUUGUUUGUUUAGUAGUUCAGUUCCCUACAAACUUGAAUAAGAAAUCAGUAUGUUUCUACCUGUUAGGACACAAAGCUAAAGAUCUUGUUUGGAUGUUGUUUUAAACCUGAUAAAUUUGGCUCUCGGGAGUUGGCUUCUAUGCUCUGACCUUCUUUUCUCCCUUUUUUAAGGAGCCACAACCUUGAAGCCAAUUGGGACAAUAGGAUGUUGUGGCAAGACCCUCACCUAAUCUUUGCUGGGCUGGGCUUGCUCCCGUUGUUCAGCAGAGUGCUUUUAAAAGAAUGUGUUUGAUAACACUUAGGGCAUAGUUAGUCUUACCUACUGCUAAGCGUGCCUUUUUUAAAAUAACAAUUUUAAAAUUUUAUAAUAGUUUUAUAUUUGCAGAAAAAUUAUGGAGAUAGCACAGAGUUCCCAUAUAUCCCGUGCCCAGUUUUCUUUAUUAUUAAAUUCUUACAUUAGCAUGGUACAUUUGUUACAGUUAAUGAACAAAUAUCUAUAUGAUGUUAUUAACUAAAGUCUAUAUUGUAUUCAAAUUUCCUCUUUCUGUUCCAGCUGUAAUUCAGGGUGUCACAAUAUGUUUAGUCAUCGUGUCUCCUUGGGCUCCUUAUGGCUGUGACACUCUCUAAGACUUUUCUGGCUUUUGAUGUCCAUAACAGUUUUGAGGAAUACUGGUCAGGUAUUUUGUAGCAUGUCCCUCACCUGAGAAUUCUGAUUUUUUUUUCAUGAUUAAGCUGAUGAUAUAUGUUUUUGGGAGGCAGAUCAGAAAGGUAAAGUCCCAGUUACAUUACAUCAUAUCACAUCAAGAGUAUGUACAAUUGUUAAAAAAAGUUUUCAUUGGGAGGCCAGCUCCACCACCUUGAAUUCUUAGGUAAGCAAAUGUAAGCCCAGUGUAAACAGUAAAACCAAACUUAAAUUUUACCAAUCAGAAACUACCAACUAUCUUCUAACUAGGGACAUCCCACUUUAACCAGUCAAAUUUCUUUGUCUUGAUUAUACCUUGUAAAAUUUUUCUGUCUCUUGCUUCCCUCUCCUCCAAGUGGAGCAUAGAACUGCCUAUGGCCUGGUGCUGCCUGAUUCGUGAAUCACUGAAUGUUCAAAUAAACUCAUUGACAUUUUAA